rnacentral:tRNA from 1 species
UAGCUUAGUUGGUAAAGCACUUGUCUAGCAUACAAGAGUCGUGGUUCAAAUCUCAC